CAAAUUAUGAUAAUUCUUUGUUAUUUAUGUAUGGAAUUUAUUGGGAGGAAAUGCAGGAAAGAAUUCAUUUACGUGGUUUGGUCCAAGACCAAGGGUGAACAUUACGGACCCUGAAAAAAUAAGAGAAAUACUUAACAAAUUUAAUGACUUCCAGAAGAUACGUACCAAUCCUCUGCUUAAUUUGCUUGUAAGCGGCCUUGUUAACCUCGAAGGAGACCGAUGGAGCAAGCGUAGAAAAAUCAUAAACCCUGCAUUUCAUCAAGAUAAGUUGAAGGUAUAGAAUAGUGAUGGGUAAUCAGACUUUACAGAAAACAUCAUACUUAAACCAAUGCUUUUCUGAUUUAGAAAUAAUUGGAUGCAGAAUAUGUUGCCAGCAUUUUAUCAAAGUUGUAGUGACAUGUUAAGCAAAUGGGAGAAGAUGGUGUGUACAGAAGGAUACAGUGAGUUAGAUGUGAGGCCUUAUCUCGUAGAUUUGACAAGAGAUGUGAUUUCCCGAUCUGCUUUUGGAAGCAGCUUCGAAGAAGGCAAACGAAUUUUCCAAUUACUAGAGGACCAACUCGUUCUCACAAUCAAAUUAAUACAAACUGUUUACAUUCCAGGAUGGAGGUAACCGUCAACUUAAUUUACUUGAAAAAGGUUGCAAAUCUUGGAAUUGGCUAAAUUCGUGUUUGUUUUCUUGAAGGUUUUUGCCAACGAAGACAAACAGGGAGAUGAAGAUGAAACACAGAGACAUAAAAGAGUCGCUUAGGGAAAUGAUAAAGAGAAGGGAGAAGGCAAUUAAAGCAGGGGAAGAGAGCAAUGAGGACUUGUUGGACAUACUUGUGGAAUCCAAUAUCAGAGAAAUGGAAGCAAAGAAUAUGGGGAUGAGCAUUGAGGAUGUGAUUGAGGAAUGCAAGCUGUUUUACUUUGCUGGCCAAGAGACCACUUCGGUCUUACUGGUGUGGACUAUGGUUUUAUUAGCAAGGUAUCCCGAUUGGCAAAGUAAAGCAAGAGAGGAGGUUUUGCAUGUUUUGGGUGACAAUAAACCUGAUGCUGAUGGCCUUAAUCGUCUCAAAGUUGUAAGUCCCUAGCAUGUCUUUUGAAGGUCCGAUCAAUGAGGUCGACAACUCAAAAACUUUGUUUCUUUUUUCGCUAAUUCUACAGGUAACGAUGAUAUUGUACGAGGUUCUAAGGCUGUACCCACCGGUGGUUGAGCUAGGACGUUCCGUUCCAAAAGAAAUAAAACUGGGGAAUUUGUUGUUACCAGUAGGAACAGAAGUUUCGGUUCCGAUCCUGCAGAUCCACCAUGACAAAGAUCUUUGGGGUAACGACGCACGGGAAUUUAAGCCAGAGCGGUUCGCGGAAGGGGUUUCCAAAGCAACAAAGAGUCAAGUCACGUUUCUGCCAUUCGGAUGGGGUCCUAGGAUCUGUAUUGGCCAAAAUUUUGCUUUGAUGGAAGCCAAAAUGGCGAUGGCUAUGAUUCUCCAACGCUUCUGGUUCGAGCUUUCCCCUUCCUAUGCUCACUCUCCUUACAGCAGGGGAACUCUUCGUCCACAGCAUGGUGCACAGAUAAUUUUACAUAAACUUGGCUGUAAUUGAAUUGUUAUGUAAACAAAUCUUUGUGAAAACAUAGCGUUUUAGUGUAUCGUCAAAGUCCGGUGUCUGUAAUGGUACAAAUUCGAUGCAUGAAUAGUAAAUUUUGAGAUGUUUGGUGAAGUCCGAAAUAAUAUGCAGAAAUUGAGCGUCUAUGGUGGACAUAGUUGAGGGACUAAUGUGGUAAUUAUCAAUCAAAUAAUUCGGUACAAAGACUUGUAUGGAAAUUAAAGCAGGGGGAGUUGAAAAUGACUACUCUGCUUUGGGCAUCAAUUUAGAAAGAUUUAAAGUACAACUGUGUUAUCAGUUAAGGGAUUUGUUUUAAAGAGGGAAUGACAAUUAAACCUCAUGGUUUAUUUGUGCAAGGGAACCGAUGAUGGGAUGAUUAUUCUUAGUGGUAAAAAAAACCAUUAUGGAGGUUAUUACACUUGUUAUCAUCAGCUUAAAAUUCGAAUGGGUUCAAGUCGGAUUAUAUCGAGCUUGUAAGAUGAGUUCACGGACCAAGUUUGCAUAAUAAAAUACCUAAAUGAAAAAAAAUUCUAUUUUAGAGGGACGAGAGCCCCUAUCAACUCCCGGCUCAGCCACUAAACAAUACCUAUAUCAUAUAAAUAAAUACCACCAUCUAAAAGACUCAAAGAAAAACACUCAACAAAGGAUAAAUAGAUAGAUGUUGGAUAAGUGUCCAAAAUAUGAUUUAAGUGAAGAUACAUGUGGUAGGUGUUACGGAAAUGUGAAGACAAGAAUCCCACUAACGUAUGGGAUGUGUGCAGUUGAAUGUAGGGAGCAAAAAGAGGAGUGAAUCAUUUUGGUAACAUUUGGACAAGAAACAUAAUGAACAAAAUGGAAGGAGAGGAAGCUAGUAAAAGAAUUUUUUUGGGUCAUAUAAUUUGUUCAUUUUGGAGUUGAAUUAUAAUUUUUUUAUAUAUUAUUUUAAAAUUUUAAGGAGUUAAAACAAAAUUAUUUUAUUUUCAGAUGGUCAAAGUAGAGGUGAUAAUGGGUUGGGCUAUUCGGCCCGGCCUGACGAUUCACUCGAAAAAUAGGAGGGUUUAGGUAAAAAUAUAGGCUCGAAAUAGGGAUUUGAGCAAAAAAAGAGUCCCGUUUAGAAAAUGGGCCAGGCCUCGGGUAAAAUUUUUUGGGCCCAAGCCUGACCUGAAUUAUAUAUUAAAUAUAUUUUUUAAUUUUUAAUCAAAUAUACUUUUUUUUAUUAAUUUGGUUAUUAUUUUAGUUCUAAUUUGUUUCAAUUUUAAUAUAACCACUUUUUAUUAUAUUUUCAAUUUGUGUAUUGUUUUAAGAAUUGUUUUAGUCUCAUUUUUUUAUUUAUUUUUUGUUUUAAUAAUUGUUUUAAAAAUUUUUAUUUAAUGAAAUAAGCUAAAAAAAUUAAUAUGGGCUUGGCCAGGCCAGGCUCGGGCCUAGUAAUUUUCUUUUGGGCCGGACUUAGAUAAAAUUUUAAGCCCAUAUUUUAAAUUGGGUCCUAACCUAAAAAAUGAACCUAAAAUUUUAUAUGGGCCCGACUUGGCCCUUGAUUACCUUUAGGUCAGAGCUAUCCUCGUUUUGCAUUUCUUUGAGAUUCAGCCUUAUCUACUGUGAUUGCCCACUCAAUUGAGGGUUGAGUAGAAAGAUUUGGUGAAGCAAGCUAAGCUAUCAAUCAAGGUUUGCAUAAUUAUUUAAAUGUAAUUCUAAUAUUAAAAUAAUUUUUUUAUUAAUAUAGUAUCAACAAGCAUUAAAUGUAAUGAUCAUAUACUAUUACAUUUUAAAGAAGAGAAAACAUGUUUGAACUUUAAAAACCACGUUACUAAAAACAUUAUCACAAACCUUGAAAUAUAAAAAAUAAUUUUUUUAAUAUAAUAAAAAAUUAAUUUUAAACCCGAGCUGAAUAAAAUUCUAAUUUUAGUUAAUGAUACGAACAACAAAUCAAUAUUCUAAGCCCGAGCCCUGCUCAUUUUUUUAAUAAACACCAAAAAUUUAUUUUGAAAAUAAAAAAUAAAAAAAAUAUUUUAAAAAUAUUUUAAAAAUAAAAAAAAUUAAAAAUAAAUAUUUAUUAUAUAUUCAGGCCGGGCCGGGCUAGCCUUGGGCUAAAAAAAUGGUGCCCGAGGCCCGGCCCAUUUUCUAAAUAGGCCUCAUUUUUUGUCCAAACCCAUAUUUUGGGCCUAUAUUUUUACCCGAACCUCUCAUAUUUUGGGCGGACCGUCGGGCCGGACCGGGCCGCCCGGCCAUGAACACCUCUAGGGCAAAGUCACUCAAUGAAUGCAUGGAAAGAAAUAUUGCAACUUGGUGACAGCUUUUGUUGGAGUUAUAUGCUUUUUUUUACAUAGUGGAACUUUCGGUGGAUUUUCAAGUUUCAUGAACUUUAUACCCUAGGCUUUACGUGAAAAAAAUCAUUGGACUUAAAAGUCUACCAAAAGUUUCACUAUAAUAAAUAAAUAAAUAAAUAACAUUGCUACAAGACUACAACAUAAAGUUACAAUAAGAGCUUAUAACUCAACAAAGGCUAUCAAUAAAUAAUCUCAAGCAAGCUAAAGAGAAAUGUUGAGAGUACCACUCAAAUAGUGAUUGACUUUAAAAAUUGAAAACCCGAAGUUAUUGUUGACACCAUUUUUUGGAUGAAAAUGUGUCGACUUGGGUUUUGAAAAUGAAAACGAAAACGAGAGUCGCCACCAAUCCUUUUUGAUAAGGUGUGACUGGGUCACCUUGAAAAGUGGUUGUUUUUAAUAAACGAUUUGAUUUUAUUAAAACAACAGUUUUGGUCCACGAAAUUCAGAAAAAUGAGUUCGGGAGUCGGUUACGCACGAGGAAGGAUUAGCACCCUCGAUACGCCCAAAAUUGGUACCUAGUUGAUUACUUAAUGUCUUAAUGUCGAAAAUUGAAAACUUUGGAGAAUUUUAAACAUACGAUCCUUGUAUUAAAACGUUAAAAAUUUUCAAGAAAAUGGGAUAUUUCACGUUAUUCGAUAAAGAGAAUCAUAUCCUAGUAAGUUAGGACACAAUAUCUCGAAUUUCCGAUAUCAUUUAAAACUUGAGUUUGAAAAGAUUCGUGUAAUAAAGUUUAAAAUAAUAUUCAAUUGUUUAAAUCAAAUGAAGAAAUCGCAACCCAAUACGUUAGGGCACAAUUUCUCAAAAUAUUAAACAUUGAAUAUUGCAUUUAUUUCGAAAAAUCCUCAUCUCGAGAAAACGUGUCACAUCCAAUGCAUUAGAAUACAACGUAUUGAAUUCUCGAUAACGAGCUUUUUCUCAUUUUUUAAAAGAGUAAUCUCGAUUAUUUAGGUUCAACGAAGAAAAUCAAAACCCAAUACGUUAGGGCUCGAUUUUCUCAAAGAUUCCAAAUACCGAGUAUUACUUAUAUUUUUAAAAUUUCUUUUUUGAAAUCCGAGUAAAAAUGAAUGCAAAAUAAUAAAUGAUGACAAUGUAAAUAAAAUGAUACAAGCAAAACAAUAAACAAUAAAAAUAAUCAUACGGGCAAGGUAACAAAUAAUUAGGAACUAAAGAAAGAGAACAAACAAUAAUAAACAUGCAAAUAAAUGAACAAAAUUAACAACAUGAUGCAAAUAUGAAAGAUAUAUAAGCACAUAUAUAUACAUAAAAUAAUGAGAAUAUGAAAAAAUGUGUGUAAUUGGACAUGUUUCGGAAUUAUUAUACAUUUAAAAAUCAUGUAAAUGUGUGUACAUACAUAUAUACAUAUAUAAUAAUCAUUAAAUAUAUAAAAAUACAUAUGUGUAGGUAUAUAUGAGUCAUAAAAUGUAAAGAAUAUAUACAAGAUAUAUUUUGAACGUAUAAAGUAUAUGUAAAUGUAUAUAUAUAAUAAAGGUGUAUGAAAGCAUAUUUUAUAUACGUGUAUUUAUAAAAUGUAUAUAAAUGUAUAUUGAUUUACCAAUACAUAUGGAUUUAUAAUUAUAGAAUAUAUAUAAAAUAUUUACAUAUAUACGUUUAUGCAUAUAUAAAAGUAAGUUAUUAUAAAAUAUGAGCAAGCAGAAUACAUAAAUAUAUAUACAUAAAAUAAAAAUGAAGAUGAAAAUAAUAUAAAACUACUUAAUAUAUUAAUAUAAUAGUAACAAAUUAAAAAAACAGAAAAUAAAGCUAAUAAUAAUUAAUAAUAGUAGUAAUAAUUAUAGCAGCAAUGAUAAUGAUAAUAAUAAUAACACUAAAAAAAUUAAUUAAAUAAUAAAAUUGCUAAAAAGGGAUUAAAUCGAAAUAAAAACAUAAAUACUGGGCGAUUUUGAAAUAAAAAACGGGAAGGACCGAAUUGCAACGCGCGUUGAAAAGGAAAGGGCCAAAACUGCAAAUAAACCACAGCCCCAAAACGCAGCGUUGAAAUGGACCAAGUCGAAAUAAAAAUAAAAUUGCAGGGGCUAAAUUAAAAAUAAGAGAAAAUAACGAAAAAUGAUCAAAUUGUAAUACGCUGCAAAAUCAGGGGGACUGCACGCGCAAAUAGCCCAAAAACUGAAAACACGCGGAUCCUCCGGGUCGGGUCGGGUCGGGUCAGGUCGACGUGCGGAUCCCCUUUGCUAAAACGGCGUCGUUUCAUGUUUAAUAUAAAUACUAAAAAAAGCUAAAAAAAACAGUUUCAUCUUUUUUUAAAAAAAACAGAGAGAAAACUCUCUCUUUUUCCCUCAGGUCCGGCCAUGGUCCGGCUUGGGAUUUCCGACGAGUCUCCGCCGCAAAGCCACCGUGUGUGGCGGCCGGAGGUUCAAAAUCAGACCUUUUUGGUCCUUUUUUAAAGUCCAUGGCCUCCAAGCCACAGAUCCGGGGCUGAAUCUCCUGAAUCGAAAGCCGAAGACCCAAAAAAUGGGGUGAAAUCCUUCGCCUUCCUCCCCCUUCCGGCGCUGCGCAGGUAAGGUUUUUUUUAACUCCUUUUUUACUAUCUUUAUUUAUAUAUAUACAUGAAGAGAAAAGAGAGCAAAAUAAAUAAAUAAAUAAAAACUUCAAAACUGAAGAGAAAAAGACCUUGAAUCUGCCUUAUUUAUUUUCUUUCGGUUGAAUCUGUUUUUGUUUGUUACAAAAGUUUCCAGGGAAGAGAAAAAAAAAGAGAGUUACAUGCUUGGCUUUUAUAGCCGAUAUUAAUUUCUAUUUUUUGUUUUCUUUUUCCUUUCUUUUCUUUGGCUGUUGCGUGUUUGCUUCCUUAUUGCAGGGUGAUUGACGGGAGUGGUUGGCGACAGAGUCGGUGGCCACUUGCACUGAUGAAGCAGCGGUGGCGGCGCUAGGGUAGGCUAGGGACGGCGGCAGUACUAGGGUUUCAGAAAACUGAAACCCUAGUUUGACAAAUUGGUUUCGGGCCUGUUGGGCUUUAAAUUAUGGGCUUUGUAAUUGGGUUUUGGGUUUAGGUGAUUUGGGUUUAGGUGGUAUGGGCCCGGGUCAAAUUUUGGGUAAUGGGAUUGGGGCAAAAUUGGGUUGUACAGUUAUAAUAUCCCAAACGAAAUCAAACUAUAAACAUUAAAUUUUUCGAGUCUUCUAGAUACUGUAAAAAAUUCAGCUCCAACGGACACCAAAUGAACCUAUGAUCGAAGAAAAUACGAAGACUAGUCUGGCUAAAUCAAUCUGCCAAACUUACUUUUUAUCUUAUCUUUAAUUUGCUGUGAAAUUCAAAACUACGUGUAAUACUCAAUUUAUGCUCGACCCAUUUUGUUAAAACAAAUAAAAAAGAAAAGAAAAACAAAAUAUUUAAAUUUAGCCCAAAUGUCCAUUUACACAGCCCAAUUACAAUUGCAAAUAAAAAAAACUAAAACUAAACCCGAUCCUAAGCAUCAGCCCAAAUUCGACCCAUGCCCAAAACGAAUUCAGAUGCAGAAACCCUAGCCCAGCCUUAAUGCAAGCAAAAGUCGAAAGCCCUAAUAGUUGGUGCGCCGCUCCUGUAACAGCCCGAUUUUGGGCCUAGUCGGAACAGUGGUUUUGGGACCACAAAUCCGACGAGAAAAAAAUGUAAUGGCCCGAAUUUUCAGAGGUGUCAGAACGGUGAUUCGAGAUCACUAAAUUCGACAAAUGGGUAGAAAAUAUUAUUAAUUUAGUAAGUAUAAGUUAAAUGUGAAGUUAGGAAAAUUUUUGAAAUGGUGAAUAGUACACUAGAAAUAAAUAUUAAAAUAAUUAGAAUCGAAAAUGAGGUAUCGAGACCUCGGGGAUUUUAAACCGAGCCAUAAAUAUUUUUAUAAAUAUUUAUGUAGUCUUAAAAAGUUAGUAUUAAAGUUUCGUUAAGAAAUUUUAAAGUUCCGAUAAUUAAUUGAACAAAAAGGACUAAAUUGUAACAAAUACAAAAUUAUGAGAAAUGAUUAAAUAGUUUAAAUGAUAAAAGGAAGAGGGCUUAAAAGGUAAAUAGACCCAAGGUCUAUUUGGGCUGCACGGCAAAGGCAUGAAAUCAGCAACAAAGUAAGGAGAAUUAAGGGCAAAAUUGGAAUAUUGCAAAAUUUACUUAAUAAAGUUAGGACCAAAGUGGAAUUAUCUAGAUUUCUCUUUAUUUUUCUGCAUUAUCAUCAGCAUAAACACCAUAGAAGGGUUUUCUUAAGCUGGUUCUUCCUAUUUUUACUGCAGGUAAGUUCAAUUCUUGAUUAUUUCUUGAAAAUUUUGUGUUUUUGUGACUUUUACAACUAGGCCCACUUAUUGUAUUCAUUAGUUUUUGAUUCUAUGAAAGAAGUUGAAAGUUGCUAUGAAUACAUGCUGGAAGUAUAUGAUGAUUUAGCAUGGAAUUAGAGCUUUAAAUUGUUCAUAUGCUGAUUUAUUGAAAGAAUUGAAUAGAAAGUGAAUGUUUGGGACCUAAUAGUAAAAGAGUUUGAAGAUAGAGUUAUAUGUGGAAAUUCUGAAUUUCAAUAGUUGUGAAACAACUUAUAAUGUCUAGGUUAAGUAUUAAUUGAGAAAAUUAAAUUAAUUGAGGGGUUAAUUGAGAAAGGACCGAAUUGUAUAAACUGUGAAAUUUGGGGCAAAAAGGAAAUCAACAUUUUACACUAAAGCAGUUUUGGACAGCAGCAGUAGUAUAACUUUGAAAAAUCACCAAAAAUUUUGAGAAUUGAAUUAGAGGGUGAAUAAAAUAUAAAAUUAAAGCUCCUUGAAUCUAGUUUCUCAUAGAAGAAACGGUGUAAGCAAUGGAAUUGUAAAUCAUGAGAUAUAAUAAAUUUUGUGAGACAAUGUCAUAAUGAUUUCGGGUUCCCCUAUUCUGACUUUGGAAAAUCAUCAAAAAAUUAAGAAAAAUAUGAGUUAUAAUUUAUAUGAUUACAAUCCUUAAUGAGUCUAUUUUCAAAGAAAAUAAACGGAAAUAUCAUCCAAAUUCUGUACAAUUAUAUAAUUCAUUUUUAGUGAAGAGUGGUCGAAACUGUCAGACAGCGAAAUAGGGGGAACUUUAAAGAAUAAACUGUACUAUUUGGCUGAACCAAAAAUUCUGAAAAUUUUAUGGUAAGAAGGUAUGUGAGUCUAGUUUUAAGGAAAAUUAACGGAUCUUAAUUUAGAGCUCUGUAGCUCUAGAUAAAAAUAAUUUAGUGACUCUGACUCAGAUAAAUAGCUUUGAAUGUACAUGUGAGUGAAUAGUGAAAUUAUAGCUAGUGUUGUUUAAGUGUGUUAUACACAUUAAGGAUAUGGAAUGGAGAGGAGGAGGAGGAGGAAAAAUUGGGAAAUAUAUGAAUGAUUUGUGUAUAAUUGGUCAUAUGCUUAAUUAUAAUUGAUAAACGAUGAAAUAGAAAUGAUGCAUAUAUUUGUGCAGUAUUGGUCAUGGUUUAAGCUCAUGUGGGAAAAUAAAGUUUAUAGUACGUGUGUAUUAUAUUUUUGGUAUAUGAUUUGGCAUUAAGUAAUGUCGUGAAUGGAUAUUGAAUUAACACAUGUUGGAAAGUUUGAUAUAUGAAUAAAUAUUGUGAUCAUGAAAGAGUGUUACAGCUCCUGCCUUCAGCACGCGUCGAGCCUCCGCGCCAAAUCCACGUGAGCCUCCGUACACUCCAACUAGCCUCCGUACCUGCAACAAACAAAAGUAGACAAAACAACAGCAAAGGAUAGGAAGAAAAGGCAGUAAAUAGUGAAGAUUUUUCUGUAAUUUUCUUUGGAUUUCAUUAUGUAUUUUCGGCUAUAAAAGAGCCAUUAGGAAUAUUUGUAAAGGGUUUUUUUUUUACCCUCACACACAAAGAGAAUAUACACGCAUACAAGAUCAAUAUAGAGAAAGAAAUAAAAAUAAAUAAAUACAAAGAAUAGAAAAUCAAGUUUCGAAGGUGAUUCUUUGAAAAAUCCUUUUCGUUUUUCUCAUUUUUCCUUUUUCCUGGAUCUUUUGUUCAUUUCAAGUAAAAAAAGUAUAGAAAGGAAACAAGUUUAGAGGAAGGAGGUUUACCUGGACGCCGGACCUCGCUCGCCUCGUCGAAAUCGAAGGCUGAGAGGGGAUAAAUCGGUUUUGCGGCAGAAGGAAAGGGGGGCUAGGGUUCUUGUUUUAACUUUUUUAAAAAAAAUAGAAAAGGUUGCUAAUUAGGUUUUAAUGGGGGAUUUAUGUGUGUUAAAAAAACGACGUCGUUUAGCGACCUUUGACCCGUGCGGUGACCCGACCCGAGGAAAGGAUCUGCGCGUUUUGGGUCUGAUGGGUUUAUUGCGCAACAAGCCCUUCCGCAUUUGUUUUUCGUUUCAAUUCGGUUUUUAUUUGUUUUUUAAUUGUUUUCUCAUAUUUAGUUCCAAUUUCAAUUGGGUCCAUGAUUAAACGACAUCGUUUUCAUUGAUUGGGUUUGAAGGCCUGGUUUUGUGCGUCUAAAUUGCAGCAAUGGUCCCCCUGAUGUGCAAUAGUUCUCGAUUUAGUCGUCUCCACACUUAUUUCAAAGUCGUCCUUGAGAUUUUGUUUUAUUUUUGAAAUUGUCCUUGUCUUCUUUUAAUUUAUAAUGAUAUUAUUAUUAUUGUUGUUGUUAUUAUUACUAUUAAUAUGGGUAUUGUUAUCAUGUUAGUUUAUAUCUAUUUAUUUACUUUUAUUUUAUUAUGUAUUAUUAUAUAAUGCUUUUAUCAUGUAUCAUUUUAUAUAUUUUCUAUGUUAAUCUAAUAUGAUAUAUAUAUAUAUAUGUAUUUUUGUGAUCUUAUUUUAUAAUACUUUUUUAACCCAUUUAUAUGCCUUUAUGUUUUAAAGAUUUAUAAUAUUUUGUGCAAAACUAUUAUAUAUAUAUAUAGAUAUACAAUUUAUAUUAGACCAUUUUUAUCGUACAUAUACGUAUAUAUAAUUUAUAUUUUGAAACUCUAUUUUAUUAUAUUUUAUGCCUCUAUAUACAUCAUUAUAUGUUUAUUAUUCUUUAUAUUAAACCUGCCAUUUCACUUAUAUAUUUUUAAAACCAAUGUGUAUUAUUCUUUCUUCUUUGUUAUUUUUUAUCUCUUAAAAUAGAUUGAUAAUUCAUUUAAUUUUUGAAUGUUGUAUGACCGAGAUUAUCGUUGCCAUUCUUGUCCAAAUUUAUCCAUUGCUUGUUCAUAUUAUUUGAUAAUUUAUCGCUCACUAGCAUGUAUCGUAAUUUACGAAUUAUCAUUUUGAAUUAUGUACUACCAUUCAAUCGCAUUACAUUUGUUUGGAAAACAUCGAAAUCGUUUUGCACAUAAACCUUCAAAAUGCUUGGUAUCCAAAAUUCUCGAGAGGAUUGUGCCCUAAUUUAUUGGGCUUCAAUUCCCCUUUUUGAUUUUAAAUAACCGAAUACCCCUUUUUCAAUUUGAACAUAGAAAUUCCAAAAUAAAAAAAAACUCAUUCUCGGGAAUUUGAUGCGUUGUGUCCUAACGUAUUGUAUAUGACAUAUUUUUCUCGAGACGAGGAUUUUUCUAACAAAUAAAAAUAAAGGCAAUAUUCGAUAUUUAGGAAUUUUGUGAAAUCGAACCCUAACUUACUGGGUUUUGAUUUUUUCAUUUGACCCAAGUAGGAUAUCCUUCACAAAUGCACAGAUUUUAAAAAAUCAAAAGAUAAACUUAAUUUCGAGGAUUUAAAAUGUUACACUCUGACUUACUGAGUGUGUCAAUUUAUUUCUUUGAAAUAAGUGAGUCUUAUCAUCCAAUUUAUUUUAUUCAAAUUUUCUUUUCCAAGGAUCGUAUUUUAAAAUUUUUUCAAAAUUUCGACAUUAAGACAUUAAGCAAUCAAUUCAGUACCAAUUUUGGGCGUCACGAGGGUGCUAACUCUUCCUCGUGCGUAAUCGACUCCCGAACCAGUUUUCUCAAAAUUCACAGACCUAAAAUUAUUUUCAAGGUGAUCCGAUCACACCACAAUAAAAGAUCAGUGGUGACUCCCAUUCCUAUUUUUAAAAGUCGAUUCCUGUUUUUCAUAUAUAAAAAAAUGGUUUCGACACUACGGUUUUGUUUGUUUCCCUUAGAACAACUUUCAAAAAGUUAAUUUUGAAAAAUGGAUUGAAUUUUCAAAAUAGAUGAUAUUUUUUUGUGUUAAAAUUUUAUUCGUUGUUUGAAAAAAAAAUUUAAAUCAUUUUCUUAGAAUUAUUUUUAGUGAAACAAAUAUAUCAUAAAUAUAUUUGUUAUAAAAUAUUAUAUUAAUAUUUUCUUUUAACAAUUAAAAUAUAUUUUGUGAUAAGGUAAUAUUUUAUAAUAAUUAAUAUCAUAUAUACUUAAUAAUAAAUCAUGUCUAAUUAAAAUUUAAUUUCAAUUAAAUAUAUUAAUAAAGCUACAUUUAAUCAUAUUUUAUAUAAUUAAAAUAUUAAUAUAAAUAUUUUUCAAUAAUAUAUUAAAGAAUAUUUAAAAUUUAAAUUUAUUAUUACUAAGAUUAAUUAUUAAAACAAAAAUGUAAUAUUAAAUAAUUUAUCCAAUGAUAAGUUAUAUUAAUAAUUUAUUAUAUUAUUAAAUAUAAAUAAUUAAAUAUGUAUGUUUAAUAAUAUUAUGUUAUAAUAUUUAUUACUAAUAUUUUAAUAUUUUUAAACAACCAUGUUUUAAAGAUGGUGGUGAUGGUGAUGGUGCAGGCCCCCUUGUUAAAAUUACAAUAUUUUUAAGUGGGAUGCAUGUAAUAUAUUGUUAGGGUUUUAGAGUAUGUGGUCUUUAAAAGGGUUAAAUUAUAUAUUUAUAUAAUAUGAUUAUUGUUUAUAAACAUAAUAUUGUAGAUAAGUUUAUAUGUAUGUCAAUAUGUAUCCUACUCUAAGGUUAAUAUGUAUUUUUUAGAUGUGGGUUUACCUAUAUAAUAGUAUGAAUCCAUCAUGUGGUCUCAUGAAAUAUACAAACACAUAUCGUGCGAACACAAAGUACGAACAAUAAAAAAUACAAAUCAAGACCCAAUUGAAUAAUUGAAUAACGGAUAGGUAAUAAUGAAUAUCAUAACAUUUACUAUCCCCUCUUUUCUAGUGAGUUAUUGUUUAUGAUAAAUUUGCAACAAAUGUUUUUAUCAUUAUUUUGUUGGUAAAUGAUAAUAAGAUUAAACAUUACUUUCUUAAGCUCCUUCAAUUCUUUGGACGUUAGCGAGUAAACUUGAGCUUCAGCAUUCCACAAACACCUUAAUUUGAAGACACAGUUCUCUCAUACUAAAAACGACAUGGACGUUUACCUUGUAAUUAGAGAUUUGGGCUCAUUGUUGGGUUAUUAAUGAUACGGGGAUGGAGAGCUUUAAACUGGGUAUGGUUGGCCCCAAAGAGGCUCGAAACGUGCUUGAGACUAGAGGUGAUCAAGGGCCGGGUUAGGCCCAGUCUAGAAAAAAAAUUAGGCCCAUUUUUUAGAUUUGAACUCGGCUCGGCUCAAAAUAUAAGCUUAAAAAUUUGUCUAAGUUCAGUCCGAAAGAAAAUUGUUAAGCCCAAGCUCGACCCAUAUUAAAUUUUACAACACCAAAAAAGUAUAUUUAAAUAAAAAUAAAAUAUAUAUAUUUAAUAUAUAAUUCGGGCCGAGCUGAACUCGGGCCAAAAAAGUUUUACUCGGGGCUGGUCCGUUUUCUAAACAGACUUCGUUUUUUUUGCCAAAAUCCAUAUUUUUACCCGAAUCUUCCUAUUUUUUGGGGUGUGCCGUCGGGCCGAACUGGGUAACCGAACCAAUGAUCACCUCUGUAAUCACUGAAUUUUGUCCGGGAAUAACUUUCGUUAAAAAAAUUUUAAAAUUAAAAAAAAAUUAACUUUUUUGCUUUUUGACCCCUAAACUUUUCUAAAAUUUCAUUUUAACCCCUAAACUUUCUCAAAAUUACAGUUCAACCCCUAAACUUUUCUAAAUUACAUUUUGACCCCUAAAAUUUCUUAAAAUUACAUUUGGACCCUUACACUUUCUCAAAAUUACGUUUCGGCCCCAAAAUUUUUGCUACAUUUACAAAUUGGUCCUUCUGUCAGAAAAUCCCCAAUAAUCCGGCGGAUUUCGUGCACCUGCCCCACUAUUUCCGGCAGCCGGCCUAGGGCAUGGCCUUCCCCACCUGCUACCUGCAAACAAGAAGCAAAAUCAACUAUAAAAAGGAGUUUAAACUCCAAAAAUCGGACCCCCACCCACGAAAAAAAUAAAAAAAAAAAACUUGAAAGAAAAAGAAAAAAGCUUUGAGAAAGAAAAAGAAAAGGAAAAGAAGAGAGGGGAGAAGGAGAGGCCGACCAUCGGCGAGCCACCGGAGGAGGCGACGGCAGCAGCGGCAUCGACGGCGGCGUAGAAGACCGAACGGAGAAGAAGAAGAAGAAGAAAAAAAAAGAAAGAAGAGAAAGAAAGAAGGAAGAAGAAGAAGAAAGAAACAAAAAAAAAAGAAAAUAUUUUGUAAUAGUCGGCCCGGCCCGACUCGACCUGCACGACCCGUGACCCGACCCGACAGCACCAGCAACCUAGCAGGCCACGGUAGCAGCCCGGCGGCCCAAAGAGUAGCCCAAAAAGAAAAAAAGAAGAAGAACAAAGCAAAAAAAAAAAGCAGGCCAUUUUCAGCAGGCCCAGUGCAGCCCAGCAGACCCAGCGAACCCAGCAGGCCAGGCCCACACGCAAGCAGCCCAACAGAAAAAAAGGGAAAGAAAAAGAAAAGAAAAAAGAAAAAAGAAAAAAGAAGAAGAAGGGGUUCAAUUUGUAUUAUCCGUUCGGCGAAGCUCGUGUUUUGAGGAUUUUUUUUCGGUAAUUUUAUUUUUUAAUUUUAAUUUAAUGCUCGUAUUUUUUUUAAAUAUUAUUAGUAUUUUAUGCAUUUUUAUAUUUUGGCAUUUAUAUUUUUAAUUUAAUUUACUUCAAUUUUUAUUUUAUUUUAUUUUAAAUAAUUUUAAUAAAUGAGGCAACGAAUCGAUUUAACAUAAAAUCGUUGAUUUCAUUGCUAUGUUGGGUGAAUAUCAUCGGUUUGUGUUAAACACGAUACACCCUUUUUAAAAAAAAGAAAAAAAUCGAAAAAAUUCUAAAAUUCUCAUUUUUUUAAAAUUCUCGUGUUUUAAUAGAAUCACGAUUAAAUAUUAAGUUGAAUCGAUUUGGCACUAAUUCGAUGAUUUCAUCUCCAUGUAGGGAUGAAUAUCAUUUAUUCGUGUUAAAUAUGGUACUUCUGAAAAAAAAUCGGGUUUCAAAAAUUUUCGUGUUUUCAAAAAUUCUCAUGUUUCAAAAAUCUUCGUGUUUUAAAAAUUCCAGUGUUUCAAAAAUUUUCGUGUUUUCAAAAAAAAAUUUCUCGUGUUUUUAAAAAUUCCCGUAUAUCGAAAUUUUCUUGUUUUCAAAAAAAAAAUUCCAUGUUUCAUAAAUUUCCGUGUUUUCAAAAAAAAAUUCUUGUUUUUCAAAAAUUUUCGUUUUUAAAAAAUUUGACCGUGUUUCAUAAAUUUUCGUAUUUCAAAAAAACCUCGUGUUUCAAAAUUUUCGGGUUUUUUUAAAAACAAUUCGUGUUUCUAAAAUUCUCGUAUUUUAAAAAAAAUCGUGUUUUCAAAAAAAGAAAAAGUUGUUGUGCUUUAAAAUUAUCGUGUUUCAAUCGGAUCACGAUUAAUAUUAAAUUGAACUCGUAUUUUUGAAAAUGAAAACAACGCGCGUUUAACGAGAUACCAAUUUUGGGCGUCGCGAGGGUGCUAAUACCUUCCUCGCGCGUAACCGACUCCCGAACCUUAAUUUUCUCUGAAUUUUUACGUGGACCUAAAAUUACCUCUUUUUAGAAAAGUUUAAAAAUGAAUUUUUCUUCUAAAAAGAGAAUUUUGUAGGUGUCCGAUCACACCUAAAAAAAGAUCGGUGGCGACUCCUUUUUUUCAAAUAAAAUCGAGAUUCAGUUUUCAAGUUUUUAAUAAUUACUUCGACAAGCGCCCGUGCGCAAAAUUUUUAAGUCGCUACAGCCUCUACUUGAGACAACAGGGUUUUGCAGGGAAUUCUUACAGGUUCGUUUCUGGCGACAAAAAAGAGCUCUUCACUAUAAGCAUACAAACAAGAGCCAAAACUAUGCCUCUUAGUGAUGAUAUUAGGCCUUAUGUUAUUCCUUUUCAACAUCAAACCGUCAACCGGUAUGGUAUGUUUUUUUUAUUUAAUCUGCAAUUUGUGAUAAUUCUUUGUUAUUUAUGUAUGGAAUUUAUUGGGAGGAAAUGCUGGAAAGAAUUCAUUUACGAGAAUUGGUCCAAGAUCAAGGGUGAACAUUACGGACCCUGAAAAAUAAGAGAAAUACUUAACAAAUUUAAUGACUUCCAGAAGAUACGUACCAAUCCACUGCUUAAUUUGCUUGUAAGCGGCCUUGUUAACCUCGAAGGAGACCGAUGGAGCAAGCAUAGAAAAAUCAUAACCCUUGCAUUUCAUCAAGAUAAGUUGAAGGUAUAGAAUAGUAAUGGGUACUCAAGACUUUAAAGAAAACAUCAUACUUAAGCCUAUGCUUUUCUGAUUUAGAAAUAAUUGGAUGCAGAAUAUGUUGCCAGCAUUUUAUCAAAGUUGUAGUGACAUGUUUAAGCAAAUGGGAGAAGAUGGUGUGUACAGAAGGAUACAUUGAGUUAGAUGUGUCGCCUUAUCUCGUAGAUUUGACAAGAGAUGUUAUUUCCCGAUCUGCUUUUGGAAGCAGCUUCGAAGAAGGCAAACGAAUUUUCCAAUUACUAGAGGACCAACUCGUUCUCACAAUCAAAUUAAUACAAACUGUUUACAUUCCAGGAUGGAGGUAACCGUCUACUUUAAUUUACUUGAAAAAGGUUGCAAAUGUUGGAAUUGGCUAAAUUCGUGUUUGUUUUCUUGAAGGUUUUUGCCCACAAAGACAAACAGGGAGGUGAAGAUGAAACACAAAGACAUAAAAGAGUCGCUCAGGGAAAUGAUAAAAAGAAGAAAGCAGGCAAUUAAAGCAGGGGAAGAGAGUAAUGAGGACUUGUUGGACAUACUUGUGGAAUCCAAUAUCAGAGAAAUGGAAGCAAAGAAUAUGGGGAUGAGCAUUGAGGAUGUGAUUGAGGAAUGCAAGCUGUUUUACUUAGCUGGCCAGGAGACCACUUCGGUCUUACUGGUGUGGACUAUGGUUUUAUUAGCAAGGUAUCCCGAUUGGCAAAGUAAAGCAAGAGAGGAGGUUUUGCAUGUUUUGGGUGACAGUAAACCUGAUGCUGAUGGCCUUAAUCGUCUCAAAGUUGUAAGUCCCUAGCAUGUCUCUUGAAGGCCCGAUCUCUGAGGUCGACAACUCAAAAACUUGGUUCUUUGUUUCGCUAAUUCUACAGUUAACAAUGAUAUUGUACGAGGUUCUAAGGCUGUACCCACCAGUGAUUGAGCUAGGACGUUCCGUUCCAAAAGAAAUAAAACUGGGAAAUUUGUUGUUACCAGCAGGAACAGACGUUUCGGUUCCAAUCCUGCAGAUCCACCAUGACAAAGAUCUUUGGGGCGACGCCGCACGGGAAUUUAAGCCACAGCGGUUCACGGAAGGGGUUUCCUAAGCAACAAAGAGUCAAGUCACGUUUCUGCCAUUCGGAUGGGGUCCUAGGAUCUGCAUUGGCCAAAACUUUGCCAUGAUGGAAGCUAAAAUGGCGAUGGCUAUGAUUCUCCAACGCUUCUGGUUUGAGCUUUCCCCUUCCUAUGCUUACUCUCCUUACAACAUGGCAACUCUUCGUCCACAGCAUGGUGCACAGAUAAUUUUACAUAAACUUGGCUGUAAUUGAAUUGUUAUGUAAGCAAAUCUUUGUGAAAAUAUAGUGUUUUAGUGUAUCGUCAACGUCUGUCUGUAAUGGUACAAUUCCGAUGCAUGAAUAGUAAAUUUUGAGAUGUUUGGUGAAGUCCGAAAUAAUAUGCAGAAAUUGAGUGUCUAUGGUGGACAUAGUUGAGGGACUAAUGUGGUAAUUAUCAAUCAAAUAAUUCGGUACAAAGACUUAUAUGGAAAUUAAAGCAGGGGGAGUUGAAAAUGACUACUCUGCUUUGGGCAUCAAUUUAGAAAGAUUUAAAGUACAAAUGUGUUAUUAGUUAAGGGAUUUGUUUUAAAGAGGGAAUGACAAUUAAACCUCAUGGUUGAUUUGUGGAAGGGAACCAAUGAUGGGAUGAUUACUCUUAGUGGUGAAAAAAAAACUAUUAAGGUGGUUAUUAUAGUUGUUAUCACCAGCCUAAAAUUUGAAUAGGUUCAGGUCGGAUUAUAUUGAGCUUGCAAGAUUAGUUCACGGACCAAACUUGCAUGAUAAUAGGUAUUCACAACAAGAUAUCUAUAGUUUCCAACAAAGUCACAUGUGAGAUCGUGCAUUAGAACCGCAUAAACAUGUUUUAUGUUUAGAAUAUGAUAUGUGUCUAUGUGUAUAGAAUCUACCUAAUAUAUCAUAUUAAUGAAUAGUAUCAAUUGCGGAGCCAAAAAAUUAUUUGUGAGGGGUCAGAAUUAAAUUGUAUAUUUUUACAAAAAUAAAAAUUAAAUUUCACUAUUUUAAUAGUUUAUUUAUUUUUAAUUUUUAAAUGAUUAAAUUAAAUUUUAUAAAUUUUUAGGAUCAAAGUAUAAUUUUAUCAUUACUAAUUUAAAAUUUUAUAAAUUAUAAAAAGUUUAUAUGAAAAGUUUUCUAUUUUAGGGUGGCCAAAGCCCCUGUCAACUUCUGACUCGAUCACUUGCGGUUAGUUGGGUAAAGACUCAAGAAAAAUAGCGGUGUGUUUGGAUGGACGGUGCGUUUACUUGCGGUUAGUGUAAAAAUAGCGGUGGCGGUGAGAUUAGAUACUAUAGCAACACUGUAGCGUGAGACAAAAAGUAAGUUAAACGCACUGCACUGCACUUAAUCGUCUAUCUAAACUCACCAUAAGUGUCUAAAAUAUGAUUUAAGUGAAGAUACGUGGGGUAGGUGUCAUGGAAAUGUAAAAAAAAAAAAGAAUCCUACUAAUGUAUGGGAUGUGUACAAUUGAAUGCAGGAGUGAAUCAUUUGGGUAACAUUUGGACAAGAAACAUAAUGAACAAAAUGAAAGGAGAGGAAGCUAGUAAUAAAAGAUUCUUUUGGGUUAUAUAAUUUGUUUGGCAUAUAUUUUUAUAAUAUUUAAAUAUCAUUUUGGAGUUGUUGAAUUAUAAUUUAUUUUUAUGUUUUAAAACAUAAUUAUUCUAUUUUUAGAGGUCAGAGUAGAGGUGAGCAUGAGUCGGGCUACUCGGCUCGGGCUGAAGGCUUGCGCAAAAUGUGAGAGAUUUGGGUAAAAAUAUAGGCCCGAAAAAUGAGUUUAGACAAAAAAAAAUAUAAGGCCCGUUGAAAAAACAGGCUAGGCCUUGGGUAAGGCAUUUUGGCCCCAGACCCGGCCCAACCCAAAUUCACUAAGGGCACGUUUGGUUCGCUGUAUUGGAAUAGAGGCGUAAUGUAAUAGAGGCGUAAUGGAAUAGAGACGUAAUAGCAAAUCAAUUGUUUGGUUGAAUGUAAUGGAAUAGAGGCGUAAUAGUAUUCUUAUAUUUGGUUGAAUGGAAUAGAGUUGUAAUAGCAUAAGGAAAAAAGUUAAAAUGACUAGAAUACCCUUAGCAGAAAUUUGUUUAGAUAAAUGAUUAUUGUUAUUGUUAUUAAAUUUUAAUAAGAUUAUUAAUAUCAGUAAUAAAUAAUUUAAUCAUAUUUUAACAUAAUUAUUAUUAAAUAUAAUUUAAUAAAAAUAUAUAAUUUAAUAAAAUUCUUAAUAUUAAAUAUUCUUAAUAUUAAAUUACUAAAAUCAUAAUAUAUAAUACUAUAAAAUAUAAUUUAACAUAAUUAUUAUUAAAUAUAAUUUAAUAAAAUUCUCAAUAUUAAAUAUAUUCUUAUAUGAAUUUACUAAAAUCAUAAUAUAUAAUACUAUAAAAUAUAAUUUAAAAUAAUUAUUAUUAAAUAUAAUUUAAUAAAAAUAUAUAAUUUAAUCUAAAGUUUGAAUGUGUAUUUACCUAGCAAAAAUCAAUGAACUCUCGUGUAACUAUAACCUUAAUAAUAUAUGAUGUAUAAUUAAUAUUUCGUGACUAAUUAAUAGCAUAGAGAUAAAUAUAGUAAUGACGAAUUUAUAGUAUACGAUUAAAAUGCUAAUAAUUUAUAGUAUACAAUUAAAAUAUUAUAAAUAAAAUAAUAGUAAAUGAUAUAUAAGAUAAAUUAACAUAUAAAUAAUUCAGAUAUGUAAAGGAUAUGGCUGAAUAUGGUUGCUCCAAUAAUAAAGGAUAUAUAAUAUAUCAUGGUGUUGUUUUGUUUAGAUAGUUCGGUAACUUAGGAGGGUAUGUAUGAAGAACACAAGUUGAUGCAGAUAGAAAGACGACAAUAUUACAUGAUUACAAUAUGAUAUAGUAUAUAUAUAUAAUUUAUGGAUUCCUUGCAAUCACGUGGGUUCUCUAGCCAUUUUAUUUAGCAUAUCCAGUGAUAUUAAGAUCCAGAAUUAUAAUACAACUAAAAUCUGUGCACACUUAUGGAUGAUCCAACAAAGCCUCAGUUGGCUUUAGGUUCCAAAUCUUGCAACCCACAAACCAUAUUUGCUGGCACUGCAACAUCAAUCAUCUUAGGAUAUGCCAAGUUAAGAUCUGUUGCACCAACAAAAACAGAGGAGAAAUUGGAAGGCGAUCCGAAAAAACCCAAGGAUGCUUUUUCUUUUCUUUUUUUUUUAUAAUCUUUAUAGACUGGUUAUAUUGAGCAUCAACUUACUUUCCAUGAUGUUUUUGAAAGUCUCUUACAAAAAGGGUAUUCAACAAAUAAUAUAAUCAGACAUAUUGAUAGGACAAAUUGAAACUAGUAUUCUAUGAUCAUAAUAAAGAGUAAUCUUUAAUCAAAUGCGUGAAGGUAUUGAGAUGUCAUGCUUUUUCAUGAUUUCCUGUUUUACCAUGGCGAUGUUCAUUGGAAUAGUCCCAUCCAAGAGAAUCAAACCAAUGCUCAGCAAGAAAUGUUCAAUGCAUAUGUAAUUUUAAUUACAGAAGUUAUAUGCAGCUUAUAUGAGUUCAAGAUCAUAAAAUACUUCAUGGACAAAAGGAAACCCUUUCUUAUCACUGAAAUGAAAAUAGGCACUCUUAAUUUUCUAUUGUCAAAAGUAGCAAGCCAUUUUCCAAAGAAAAGGGAAGAUGGAUGGUUCCAGAAAGAAUACCUCAUCCUUUGUCAAGUGUGGAUUAUAUAGCAUCUCCUCUCCCACAGUGGUUACCUAUAAUCAAUGAGGUUUAUAAAAUCGAGCAAUCAUUUAUAUAUGUAAGAAAUGAUAGGAAUAAAGUUUUAUAUCUUACUGAGAAUCCUUUGUAGUCAUGAGCUGGAUAUAGCAAUGUCUCUUUCGGUAAUGUAAAAAUCUGGAUCCAUGAAACAAAUAAGUCCAUAAAUUUUAUUCAAAUUUUGACAAUUACAAUAAAAUUUUGAGAACUCAAAGAAUGUGACCAUAAAAAGUCCCCUGUCCUUACCUGUGAAUGCACUGACUUGUAGAGUUGCUGUGAACUUCCACCCUGCAAAAUGCAUUAAUCAGUGCUAGUCAAUGGCUACUGAAUGUGGGAGCAUUAGAGAAAAUUAUCUUAAAAACUUAAGUAUAACAAAAUUAGACAAUGACAUCCAGAUGGAAAGAAAUUGCCAGCAUAUAAGACCAGCAUUUAUGUACUCACGACUGAAAAUCCUUUGCAAAAAGUAUAGCCCUGAUAGUUCAAACUUUUACUUCAAGGAUGAUUUAAUUACUGAUUAGUUUGCCAUGAGGCUUGUGAAUGACAAACACUUUAUGUGCAACCACAGUAACAAGGUAAGCACCAAUAAGUAGAAGACUAGACGAAUAGGUAACCAAGAGUUAGAGCUAAAACAGACAAACAGAGCUACUAUCCAAUGAGCUAAAACAUACAAACAGAGGUAUAUUUUAAUAAUGAAAAUAAUCGAUUGCCUUAAACACCAUAUAGUGUUCCAAUCAAUCAAAUUAUAGCAGGCAUUAAAACCUUUCCCUUUCGUUAAUUCACAACUAUUAGCUUCAUUAAUCAAAUCCUAUGUACAGUUGAUCGAUUGAAAGUGUAACAUUUCAAAGACGAAAUUUAAACGCAAAACUGGUUAACAUUGAAAUUACAUGUAAAUAUAACCUAAAAAAUCAAAAAAUUAAUCAUAUUUUCAGAUUUCAGGCCGAAAUGGAAUGAAAUGAAAGGUAAAUCCAUUUUUUCCCCAAAAAAACAAAAAUAAAGAAAUAAUAUUUCAAGAACAGAUCAUUAAAUUCAUGGUAUAUAUAAAGAAAUUUAAUUGAAAUCAAAGGAAUAGAAGAAGGGAAAAGCGUACUUGGAACCAUUGCUGCUACUCUCUGUUACUCUGUUACCUCAUACGAUUCGUUAAAGGGUUGUUAGGGUUUGUUAAAAGGUUGGUCAGGAUAGAAGCAUGAAAAGGAGGGAGAAGGUUGGAAGGAAAUGGGAAGAAAAAUGAAAAAAAGAAGAAGAUGCUGCAACGGCUUGGAGGGUAAAAGAGGACCGAUUAGGUAAUCCUUUCUUUUGGAAGGGAUUACAAAUCGGCGCUGCAUAAGGGAAAAUGGGGAAUCAGUGCGCUGCGUAAUAGGCCCGUAUUAAGGCAAUACAGCCAACCAAACAUGGUAAUCAGUGGGGCCACGAAUUAGGGGUGUAUUGGCUAAUCCAAUACACCCAACCAAACAUGCUCUAAAGGACAAAAAAAUUUGAUUUUUUAAAUAUUAUUUUCUCUCUAUUUUGCUAUCAUUUUACUAUUAUGUUGCUACUAUGUUAUUGUUAUUUUUGAAUAUUGUAUAAAACUUAUUUUAUUGUUAAUUUUGUUAUUAUUUUAAAGACAUUUGUUAAUUUUGUUAUUAUUUUAGAGACAUUUGUUUGUUAAGUUGCAUCUAUCUUAGUGUUAUUUAAGUAUACAUAUUUUUUAAAAUUUAUUUUCAAUUUAUUGGGAAAUAUUUAUUUUGAUGUUUUUAGUAUUUUGGAUGUAUUAUAUAUAUUAAAAUUAUAUAAAAAUUAAUAUGGCCGAGCCAGGUCAGGCCCAGAUUUUAGCAUUUUUAUUCAGGUCGGGCUUGAGCAAAAUUUUAAGCCCAUUUUUUGGGCCAAACCAGGCCUGGGCUUAGCAAAUGGGCCUAAAUUUUUAGUCAAGCUCGACCUAAACCCGAUCCGGCCCAUGCUCACCUCUAGAUCAGAGCUGCCCUCGCUUUGCAUUUCUUUGAGAUUCAGUCUUAUCUACUGUUGAUUGCCCACUCAAUGGAGGGUUGAGUAGAAAGAUUUGGUGAAGCAAGCUAAGCUAUCAAUCAAGGUUGGAGAAAGCUUAGGAGGUCACAAUGCAUAAUUAUUUAAAUGUAAUUCUAAUAUUUAAAUAAAAUUUAUUAAUAUAGUAUUAACAAGCCCUAAAUGUAAUGAUUAUAUACUAUUACAUUUUUAAGAAGAGAAAACAUGUUUGAACCUUAAAAACAUCAUUAUUAAAAAUGAUAAUUACAAAUUUUAAAAUAUAAAAAAUAUAAUUAAAAAUUAAUUUUAAACCCGAGCUGGAUAAAAUUCUAAUUUUAGAUAACGAUACUAAUAAGAAAUCAAUAUUAAAAUGAAAAUGAAAAGUAAUUUAAUAUAAUUUUUGAGUCUUGGGCAAAGGCACUCAAUGAAUGCUUGGAAAGAAAUAAUGCAACUUGGUGAUAGCUUUUGUUGGAGUAAUAUGCUCUUAUUAUAGUUUUAUGUUUUUAUCUUGCAAAAACAACAUAUUGGAGUUUUCGGCAUGAUUUUUUCUUAAUACUUUACAUGAAAAAUAAUAAUGGGACUUAAAUUGCUACAAUAUUACAACACAAAGUUACAAUAAGAGCUUAUAACUCAACAAAGGCUAUCAAUAAAUAAUCUCAGGCAAGCUAAAGAGAAAUGUUGAGAAUACCACCCGAAUAGUGACUGACUUUAAAAGUUGAAAACCCGAAGCUAUAUUAUCUCAAACGAAAUCAAACCAUAAACAUUAAAAUUUUCAAGUCUACUAGUUACUGUAAAAAAUUCAGCUCCAACAGACACCAAAUGAGCCUUUGAUCGAAGAAAGUACGAAAAAUAGUCUAGGUAAACCAAGCUUCCAAACUUACUUAUCUUAUCUUUAAUUUGCAGUGAAAUUCAAAAUUAAGAUUUUGUUUAUUUCACUUGGAACAACUUUCAAAAAAUUAUUUUUGAAAAAUGAAUUGGUUUUUCGAAAUAGAUGAUAUUUUAUUGUGUCAAAAUUUUAUUCAUUGUAGGAAAACUUUUUUUAAAUCAUUUUCUUAGAGUUAUUUUUAGUUAAAUAAACAUAACAUAAAUAUAUUUGUUACAAAAAAUUAUACUAGUAUUUUCUUUUGACAAUUAAAAUUUAUUUUAUGGUAAGACAAUAUUUUAUAAUAAUUAAUAUCAUAUAUAUACGUAAUAAAAAUCAUGUUUAAUUAAAAUUUAAUUAAAAUUAGAUGUAUUAAUAAAGCUACUCCUCCACAACCCGCAUCCGCAACAGCACCAGCACCAGCACCAGCACCAGCAUCAGCACCAUGGGACAACUAUUGGGUUUCCUCCACCUGCCUCUAUCGCUCCUCCUCAGUAUUACCCCCAAGCCUACCAGACCGUGCCGGGUAUUCUACAAAUAUGAAAAAACCUUCUUCUCUUUUUAUUAGCUUAUCGAAAUGAAGGAUUUUGAGAUUUGGGCUUUUGUUAGAUGGAUGGUUAAUGAUAUUUUUUAGAUGAAAGAUACAAGUUUUUUAAUGUUUUAGAAGAAAAGGUGUUUAAAUAUUAGGAGUUUUUUAGCAGAGAAAGAAGAUAAAUAAAUGCAUAGAGAUACAUUAGCAAUAUUAUUUGGAUUUGGUUGUCUAAUGUAAUGAAGAAUUUUUUAAGGGUGACCUGAGUAGGUGUGGCAAGAUUCAAAGUUUUUUCUAUUAUAGCAGAUAUAUAUAUAUUAAUGGUUUAAGAAGACUAGAAGUCGGUUUCAAAGGAAGAUGAGAAAUAAAAGCAUUUAUAUAUAUGAUAUGUCAUUAAUUCAUAAACCAAAUAUAUAAAGUAUGUAAAAGUGUCAGGGGUUAAUCAUGGUGUUUUGACAAUCCGGUAACCUUCAACUUGAAGAAAACCUUAGGUUUCAAAAAUUUAUGUGAAGAGUUAGAAUGGUAUGCUUCAUGGAUCUGAAUAACUAGAACAGUGUAAGAGUGGUAUAUUGUGUCAAGUUUGGUUUCUUGUAUAUAAUUGUAUCGAAAACAAUGUUACAUGAGUUAAAAUGAAUGUUCAUCCAAUUUAACAAAGCCUGCAUUAUGUUGAUCAAAAUUUUUAAUUCAUGUUGAGGUUUCUUCCGUGAUAUCUUUGAUGUCAAGGUUAUGAUGUUGCUGAAGGGACACCUGUAAGAGAUAAGCCACCGUGCUGUGGCAUUGGAUUCGGAUGGUUCUUGUAAGUGUACAUAGUUUUCUUUGUUUUUAAAGAGUUCUUUACAUAUGAAGUAAAACAAGUAGCGACUUGAUGGAUAUGUCAUUAAGCUUUAACUUAAGCAAAUCAUUUUCCUUCAUCUCUAAUUGCCAUUUCUUUAAAAGAAAAAGAGGAAGUUUUGUAGUUUACAGUUUGGACAAAUGGAAGUUAAUAUAAUGCACUAUUUGGAUGGACUAUGGAGAUAUCCAAUCAUAUUGGAUGAGUUAUAAGAAACCUGUGAGUUCAUAUUGGGUUUACUUUAUAUCAUAAUUAGAUUGUUGAGCUGGCUGUCAUACUUAGAUGGUAUUUCACGUUGCUACUUGUUAAACUAUACCACUUUCACAUUCAUACGUGAAAUGGCUGGGAUUUAGUGCCAUUCUACUUAGCAGCCUCGUGUAAUACACAGGUGAAAUGUUUAUGUCUUCAUGUCACCUUAAAGUUCCCAUUUCCAUGACGGUAUUGUUAAGUAAAGACUGGUACAUACCCCAAAAUACGGAAAUUGUUUUGGAUGUAUACUAUACUUUACCAUGCAUGAUUUUUUACAAGUUUGCAUGGUAUUUUAUCAUUAUAUUGGUCUUUAUUUUCUAUACUCGCAGCUUCCAUUAAUAUAUUUUUAUGAAUUUUAUCAUUAUGCUGGUUUGAAGGUUCAUCAUUGGUUUCUUCAUUGGGGGCCAUCCCUGGUAUAUUGGAUUCUUUGUUUUACUUUGUGCAAGGAUAGACGACAGAGAGAAAGCAGGAUAUAUUGCAUGCACAAUUGCCGUGAGUAUCUUUUCUAUCAUUAUUUUUUUCUUUUCCAAUUUUAUGAAAGCCAUCCUUCCUGCCUUGUAUUGAUCAUCAAUUUAACCAUUAUAUAUAUGUAUCUUAUGUAUUUGUACCAUGCUUUAUCUUCAAUGCAAAUAUAAGUUAAACUACAAAGAUUGGAUUGUUAAAAAAAGUUUAAAAUGUUAAAAAAAUUGAAAAUUUUGAUUUUGUAAGAAUGAUAGAAAACCAAGGCCAGUGCUUGCAUAUGUUAUCUACUACAUGCACAAUCGGGUCGAUGUCUGUAUAUGUUUCAUGUUUAGAAAUCGUGUUCAAUUGGGUUACGAUAUGUACAAUUGAAGUGUCAAUUUAUAAUUUCCUUAUCAAGAUUACACAUUUUUUUGUUAAUAUUCGGAAUCACUCAAUGGUUAUAAACCCUGAUUGGAUACUGUCCACAAAGUCUAGUUGGAACAUCCCUUGUAUUCUUUGUCCUUUCUAAGAACUUUCCUUUCCAUCAUUCUCGCUUCUGUUUUUUUUUUCUUCCCUCUACUUUAAGUCAUUAUCUAACGUAGAUAUCCCUUGUAUUCUUUGUCCUUUCUAUGGCAAUCGAGUCAAUUGAUGGCAAGCCAAAAAAACAAAAAGAGCAGCUAUCCUGUCUUACUCGAUUGCCAUCCCUCCUGUUAAACACCAUUAAGAAAAGGAAAAUUUUAGUUAAGCUUUAAAACAGCCAUGUUUUAACGAUGUUGGUGAUGGUGCUUGUGCAGGCCCUUCUUGCUACAAUUACAAUUAUUCUUAGUGCAACAAUUAAAGCUGGUGGGUGAUAAAGCACACCUCUUUUGACUGAGAGAUGUAUAGGUUCCCAAAUAAUAUGUAUAUGCUCCCCCCCCUCCCUUUAUUUUAUUUUAUUUCCAGUAAGUUAUUGUUUAUGAUAAUUUGCAACAAAUGUUUUUGUCAUUAUUUUGUUGGUGAAUGAUAAUAAGAUUAAGCUUUACUUUCUUAAGCUCCAAUUCCUUGGACGUUGGUGAUUUUUUUAUUAUAGUUGAGUCAUUGUAUGGUAUUAAUAUAAUUUAUGUCGCUUAAAAUUUAUAACUAAAAAUAUAAAAUUUAAAUUUUACUUCAAUUUAUUUGUAUUUAUAAAUGGUUAAUUCAAACUUAUUUUUUUCCUCAUUAUAUUUUAUAUUUAAAUUAACAUUUAAACUAUUUUUCAUUAGCAAUGUUGUUAAGAAUUAUAUUUUUUAGCACCAACAUCAAACUUACUAAAAUUAAAUUUUUAACUAUUUAAAAAAAAUAUUUUUAGCUAUUUAUCAUCAUAGAGAAAAAAAGGUGACGUCACCACGCCUCAUGCUUCGACACCACAAACUAGACUCUCAUCACCCGUAUUUAUCAUCGAUUCAAAUUCCAGAACUACCUAAAAAUAUAUCUUCAAACUUCCUCUGGUUAAGUUCAUUGAUAGUCAACUUACUAUCAUUUCUAAAAAAAAAACAAAUAAAUUGGUUAAUAGUAAUCUCAAUGAUUCAAUUUUAUUCUUACCAGUAUCUGUCCUUUAGAAAGGGGCUUAUAAAAGGGGUAGAGGUGAGUAAACUUGAGCUUCAGCUUUCCACAAACACCUUAAUUUGAAGACACAGUUCUCUCAUACUAAAAAAGACAUGGAAGUUUACCUUGUAAUUAGAGAUUUGGUUUCAUUGCUUGUUGUUGGGUUAUUAAUGAUAUGGGGAUGCAGAACUUUAAACUGGGUAUGGCUGGCCCCAAAAAGGCUCGAAAGCUGCUUGAGACAACAGGGUUUUGCAGGGAAUCCUUACAGGUUCCUUUCUGGUGACAUAAAAGAGCUCUCAACUAUGAGCAGACAAACAAGAGCCAAACCUAUGCCUCUUAGUGAUGAUAUUGGGCCUUAUGUUGUUCCUUUUCAACAUCAAACUGCUAACCAGUAUGGUAUGUUUUUUUUGUUUAAUCUGCAAUUUAUGAUAAUUCUUUGUUAUUUAUGUAUGGAAUUUAUUGGGAGGAAAUGCAGGAAAGAAUUCAUUUACGUGGUUUGGUCCAAGACCAAGGGUGAACAUUACGGACCCUGAAAAAAUAAGAGAAAUACUUAACAAAUUUAAUGACUUCCAGAAGAUACAUACCAAUCCACUGCUUAAUUUGCUUGUAAGCGGCCUUGCUAACCUCGACGGAGACCGAUGGAGCAAGCGUAGAAAAAUCAUAAACCCUGCAUUUCAUCAAGAUAAGUUGAAGGUAUAGAAUAGUGAUGGGUAAUCAGACUUUACAGAAAACAUCAUACUUAAACCUAUGCUUUUCUGAUUUAGAAAUAAUUGGAUGCAGAAUAUGUUGCCAGCAUUUUAUCAAAGUUGUAGUGACAUGUUAAGCAAAUGGGAGAAGAUGGUGUGUACAAAAGGAUACAGUGAGUUAGAUGUGUGGCCUUAUCUCGUAGAUUUGACAAGAGAUGUGAUUUCCCGAUCUGCUUUUGGAAGCAGCUUCGAAGAAGGCAAACGAAUUUUCCAAUUACUAGAGGACCAACUCGUUCACAUAAUCAAAUUAAUACAAACUGUUUACAUUCCAGGAUGGAGGUAACCGUCAACUUAAUUUACUUGAAAAAGGUUGCAAAUGUUGGAAUUCGCUAAAUUCGUGUUUGUUUUCUUGAAGGUUUUUGCCAACGAAGACAAACAGGGAGAUGAAGAUGAAACACAGGGACAUAAAAGAGUUGCUUAUGGAAAUGAUAAAGAGAAGGGAGAAGGCAAUUAAAGCAGGGGAAGAGAGCAAUGAGGACUUGUUGGACAUACUUGUGGAAUCCAAUAUCAGAGAAAUGGAAGCAAAGAAUAUUGGGAUGAGCAUUGAGGAUGUGAUUGAGGAAUGCAAGCUGUUUUACUUAGCUGGCCAAGAGACCACUUCGGUCUUACUGGUGUGGACUAUGGUUUUAUUAGCAAGGUAUCCCGAUUGGCAAAGUAAAGCAAGAGAGGAGGUUUUGCAUGUUUUGGGUGACAGUAAACCUGACGCUGAUGGCCUUAAUCGUCUCAAAGUUGUAAGUCCCUAGCAUGUCUUUUGAAGGUCCGAUCAAUGAGGUCGACAACUCAAAAACUUUGUUUCUUUUUUCGCUAAUUCUACAGGUAACAAUGAUAUUGUACGAGGUUCUAAGGCUGUACCCACCGGUGGUUGAGCUAGAACGUUCCGUUCCAAAAGAAAUAAAACUGGGGAAUUUGUUGUUACCAGUAGGAACAGAAGUUUCGGUUCCGAUCCUGCUGAUCCACCAUGACAAAGAUCUUUGGGGCGAUGACGCACGGGAAUUUAAGCCAGAGCGGUUCGCGGAAGGGGUUUCCAAAGCAACAAAGAGUCAAGUCACGUUUCUGCCAUUCGGAUGGGGUCCUAGGAUCUGUAUUGGCCAAAAUUUUGCUAUGAUGGAAGCCAAAAUGGCGAUGGCUAUGAUUCUCCAACGCUUCUGGUUCGAGCUUUCCCCUUCCUAUGCUCACUCUCCUUACGGCAGGGCAACUCUUCGUCCACAGCAUGGUGCACAGAUAAUUUUACAUAAACUUGGCUGUAAUUGAAUUGUUAUGUAAACAAAUCUUUGUGAAAACAUAGCGUUUUAGUUUAUCGUCAAAGUCCGGUGUCUGUAAUGGUACAAAUUCGAUGCAUGAAUAGUAAAGUUUGAGAUGUUUGGUGAAGUCCGAAAUAAUAUGCAGAAAUUGAGUGUGGUAAUUAUCAAUCAAAUAAUUCGGUACAAAGACUUACAUGGAAAUUAAAGCAGGGGGAGUUGAAAAUGACUACUCUGCUUUGGGCAUCAAUUUAGAAAGAUUUAAAGUACAAAUGUGUUAUUAGUUAAGGGAUUUGUUUUAAAGAGGGAAUGACAAUUAAACCUCAUGGUUGAUUUGUGGAAGGGAACCGAUGAUGGGAUGAUUAUUCUUAGUGGUAAAAAAAACUAUUGUGGAGGUUAUUAUACUUGUUAUCAUCGGCUUAAAAUUCGAAUGGGUUCAAGUCGGAUUAUAUCGAGCUUGUAAGAUGAGUUCACGGAUCAAAUUUGCAUAAUAAAAAUACUUAAAUGAAAAAAAUUUCUAUUUUAGAGGGACCAGAGCCCCUACCAAUUCCCGGCUCAGCUACUAAACAAUACCCAUAUCAUAUAAAUAAAUACCACCAUAAAAAAAACUCAAAGAAAAACACUGACAAAUGAUAAAUAGAUAGAUGUUGGAUAAGUGUCCAAAAUAUGAUUUAAGUGAAGAUACAUGGGGUAGGUGUCACGGAAAUGUGAAUACAAGAAUACUACUAAUGGGAUGUGUACAGUUGAAUGUAGGGAGCAAAAAGAGGAGUGAAUCAUUUUGGUAACAUUGGGACAAGAAACAUAAUGAACAAAAUGGAAGGAGAGGAAGCUAGUAAAAGAAAUUUUUUGGGUCAUAUAAUUUGUUUGGCAUAUAUUUUUAUAAUUUUUAAAUAUCAUUUUGGACUUGAAUUAUAAUUUUUUUAUAUAUUAUCUUAAAAUUGUAUAAAUUUUAAGGAGUUAAAACAAAAUUAUUCUAUUUUUAGAUGGUUAAAGUAGAGAUGAUAAUGGGUUGAGCUAUUCGGCCCAGCCUGACGAUCCACCCGAAAAAUAGGAAGGUUUGGGUAAAAAUAUAGGCUUGAAAUAUGAAUUUGAGCAAAAAAAGAGGCCCGUUUAGAAAAUGGGCCGAGCCUCGGGUAAAACCUUUUGGGUCUAGACCUGACCUAAAUUAUAUAUUAAAUAUAUAUAUUUUUAUUUUUAAUCAAAUAUACUUUUGUUUUAUUAUUAAUUUGGUUAUUAUUUUAGUUCUAAUUUGUUUCAAUUUUAAUAUAACUACUUUUUAUUAUAUUUUCAAUUUGUGCAUUGUUUUAAGAAUUAUUUUAGUCUCAUUAUUUAUUUAUUUUUUAUUUUAAUAUUUGUUUUAAAAUUUUUUAUUUAUUGAAAUAAGCUAAAAAAAUUAAUAUGGGUUGGACCAGACCGGGCUCGGGCCUAGUAAUUUUCUUUUGGGCCGGACUUAAACAAAUUUUUAAGCCCAUAUUUUGAAUUGGGUCCUACACUAGAAAAUGGACCUAAAAUUUUGUAUUACCUUUAGGUCAGAGCUAUCCUCGUUUUGCAUUUCUUUGAGAUUCAGCCUUAUUUACUUUUGAUUGCCCACUCAAUAGAGGGUUGAGUAGAAAUAUUUGGUGAAGCAAGCUAAGCUAUCAAUCAAGGUGUGCAUAAUUAUUUAAAUGUAAUUCUAAUAUUAAAAUAAAAUUUUUAUUAAUAUAGUAUCAACAAGCAUUAAAUGUAAUCAUCAUAUACUAUUAAAUUUUCAAUAAGAGAAAACAAGCUUGAACUUUAAAAACGAUGUUACUAAAAACAUUAUCACAAAUCUUGAAAUAUAAAAAAUACUUUUUAAUAUAAUAAAAAAAUAAUUUUAAAACCGAGAUGAAUAAAAUUCUAAUUUUAAUUAAUGAUACCAACAACAAAUCAAUAUUUAAAUUAAAAUUUAUCUUAAUUUAAUAUAAUAAAAUUGGACUUGAAUAUUGAAUUUUUGAGUCUUGGGCAAAGUAGAGGUGCUCAUGGGCCGGGUUGGGUCGGGUUUGGGAAAAAUUUCGGCCCGCAUCCUAGGCUCGGGCUCGGCCCGACCCAAAUAUGGGCCUAAAAUUUUGUCUAGGCCUAGCCCGGCCCGGCCCAACUCAUUUUUUUUAAUAAACACCAAAAAUUUAUUUUGAAAAUAAAAAAAUAAAAAAAGUAUUUUAAAAAUAUUUUAAAAUUUUUAAAAAAUAUAUAUAUUUAUUAUAUAUUCGGGCCGGGCCAGGCCCGAGCCAAAAAAGUGGCGCCCAAGGCCCGGCCUGUUUUCUAAACGGGACUCAUUUUUUACCCAAACCCAUAUUUCGGGCCUAUAUUUCUACCCGAAUCUCUCAUAUUUAGGGCGAACCGUCGGGCCGGACCGGGCCGCCCGGCCAUGAACACCUCUAGGACAAAGUCACUCAAUGAAUGCAUGGAAAGAAAUAAUGCAACUUGGUGAUAGCUUUUGUUGGAGUUAUAUGCUUUUUUUUUACGUAGUGGAACUUUCGGUGGAUUUUCAAGUUUCAUGAACUUUAUACUCUAUGCUUUACGUGAAAAAAAAAAUUCAUUGGACUUAAAAGUCUACCAAAAGUUUCACUAAAAAAAAAACCAUUGCUACAAGAUUACAACAUAAAGUUACAAUAAGAGCUUAUAACUCAACAAAGGCUAUCAAUAAAUAAUCUCAAACAAAUUAAAGAGAAAUGUUGAGAGUACCACUCGAAUAGUGAUUAACUUUAAAAAUUGAAAACCCAAAGUUAUAAUAUCCCAAACGAAAUCAAACCAUAAACAUUAAAUUUUUCGAGUCUACUAGAUACUGCAAAAAAUUCAGCUCCAACAGACACCAAAUGAACCUAUGAUCGAAGAAAAUACGAAAACUAGUCUAGCUAAAUCAAGCUGCCAAACUUACUUUUUAUCUUAUCUUUAAUUUGCUGUGAAAUUCAAAACUAAGGUUUUGUACUUAGAACAACUUUCAAAAAGUUAAUUUUGAAAAAUGGAUUGAAUUUUCAAAAUAGAUGAUAUUUUAUUGUGUUAAAAUUUUAUUCGUUGUUUGAAAAAAAAUUUAAAUCAUUUUCUUAGAAUUAUUUUUAGUGAAACAAACAUAUCAUAAAUAUAUUUGUUAUAAAAUAUUUAUAUUAAUAUUUUCUUUUAACAAUUAAAAUAUAUUUUGUGAUAAGGUAUAUUUUAUAAUAAUUAAUAUCAUAUAUACUUAAUAAUAAAUCAUGUCUAAUUAAAAUUUAAUUUCAAUUAAAUAUAUUAAUAAAGCUACAUAUAAUCAUAUUUUAUAUAAUAAAAAUAUUAAUAUAAAUAUUUUUUUAAUAAUAUAUUAAAGAAUAUUUAAAAUUUAAAUUUAUUAUUACUAAGAUUAAUUAUUAAAAUAAAAAUGUAAUGUUAAAUAAUUUAUCCAAUGAUAAGUUAUAUUAAUAAUUUAUUAUAUUAUUAAAUAUAAAUAAUUAAAUAUGUAUGUUUAAUAAUAUUAUGUUAUAAUAUUUAUUAUUAAUAUUUUAAUAUUUUUAAACAACCAUGUUUUAAAGAUGGUGGUGAUGGUGAUGGUGCAGGCCCCCUUGUUACAAUUACAAUAUUUUUAAGUGGGAUGCAUGUAAUAUAUUGUUAGGGUUUUAGAGUGUGUGGUCUUUAAAAGGGUUAAAUUAUAUAUUUAUAUAAUAUGAUUAUUGUUUAUAAAUAUAAUAUUGUAGAUAAACUUUUAUGCAUGUCAAUAUGUAUCCUACUCUGGGGUUAAUAUGUAUUUUUAGAUAUGGAUUCACCUAUAUAAUAGUAUGAAUCCAUCAUGCGGUCUCAUGAAAUAUACAAACACAUAUCGUGCGAACACAAAGUACGAACAAUAAAAAGUACAAAUCAAGACCAAUUGAGUAAUUGAAUAGCAGAUAGGUAAUAAUGACUAUCCCCUCUUGUUUGAAUUUAUUUUAUUUCCAGUGAGUUAUCGUUUAUGAUAAAUUUACAACAAAUGUUUUUAUCAUUAUUUUGUUGGUAAAUGAUAAUAAGAUUAAACUUUACUUUCUUAAGCUCCUUCAAUUCUUUGGACGUUAGCAAGUAAACUUGAGCUUCAGCAUUCCACAAACACCUUAAUUUGAAGACACAGUUCUCCCAUACUAAAAACAACAUGGACGUUUACCUUGUAAUUAGAGAUUUGGGCUCAUUGUUAGGUUAUUAAUGAUACGGGGAUGGAGAGCUUUAAACUGGGUAUGGCUGGCCCCAAAGAGGCUCGAAACGUGCUUGAGACUAGAGGUCCAGGCAAAUUUUUAGGCCCAUUUUUUAGGCCUGGACUGGGCCCGACUCGAAAUAUGAGCUUAAAAAUUUGUCUAAGUUCGGUCCAAAAGAAAAUUGUUAAGCCUAAGCCCGGCCCAUAUUAAAUUUUACAACACCAAAAAACUAUAUAUUUAAUAUAUAUAUUUGAUUAAAAAGUAUAUUUAAUUAAAAAUAAAAAUAUAUAUUUAAUAUAUAAUUCGGGCCGGGCCGAACUCGGGCCAAAAAAGUUUUACUCGGGGCUGGUCCGUUUUCUAAACAGACCUCGUUUUUUUGUCAAAAUCCAUAUUUUAGGCUUAUAUUUUUACCCGAAACUUCCUAUUUUUCGGGUGAACCGUCAGGCCGGACUAGGUAGCCCAACCAAUGAUCACCUCUACUUGAGACAACAGGGUUUUGCAGGGAAUUCUUACAGGUUCGUUUCUGGCGACAUAAAAGAGCUCUUCACUAUAAGCAUACAAACAAGAGCCAAACCUAUGCCUCUUAGUGAUGAUAUUGGGCCUUAUGUUGUUCCUUUUCAACAUCAAACCGUCAAUCAGUAUGGUAUGUUUUUUAAUUUAAUCUGCAAUUUAUGAUAAUUCUUUGCUAUUUAUGUAUGGAAUUUAUUGGGAGGAAAUGCUGGGAAGAAUUCAUUUACGUGGAUUGGUCCAAGAUCAAGGGUGAACAUUACGGACCCGGAAAAAUAAGAGAAAUACUUAACAAAUUUAAUGACUUCCAGAAGGUACGUACCAAUCCACUGCUUAAUUUGCUUGUAAGCGGCCUUGUUAACCUCGAAGGAGACCGAUGGAGCAAGCAUAGAAAAAUCAUAACC
rnacentral:lncRNA from 1 species